rnacentral:rRNA from 3 species
GGACUACCAGGGUAUCUAAUCCCGUUCGCUCCCCUGGCUUUCGUGCCUCAGCGUCAGAUAAGACCCAGUGAGCCGCUUUCGCCACCGGUGUUCCUUAGGAUAUCAACGCAUUUCACCGCUCCACCCUAAGUUCCGCUCACCUCUGUCUUCCUCGAGCACGGUAGUUUUGGGCGCAAUUCCUCGGUUAAGCCGAGGUAUUUCACACCCAACUUUCCGCACAGCCUACGCACCCUUUAAGCCCAGUAAUUCCGAAUAACGUUCGUGUGGCUCGUCUUACCGCGGCU